rnacentral:rRNA from 1 species
UACAGAGGGGGCAAGCGUUGUUCGGAAUUACUGGGCGUAAAGGGCGCGUAGGCGGCCUGUUAAGUCGAACGUGAAAUCCCCGGGCUCAACCCGGGAACUGCGUCCGAUACUGGCAGGCUUGAAUCCGGGAGAGGGAUGUGGAAUUCCAGGUGUAGCGGUGAAAUGCGUAGAUAUCUGGAGGAACACCGGUGGCGAAGGCGGCGUUCUGGACUGUUUCUGACACUGAGGAACGAAAGCCAGGGGAGCAAACGGG